rnacentral:rRNA from 1 species
GCAGAUCCAUUUUCUGCCACCGAAUACAUUAGCAUGGGAUAAUGGAAUAGGACCCUGUCCUCCUAUUUUCAGUUGGUUUUGGCAGCGCGAGGACUAGGGUAAUGAUUAAUAGGGAUAGUUGGGGGCAUUAAUAUUUAAUUGUCAGAGGUGAAAUUCUUGGAUUUAUGAAAGAUUAACUUCUGCGAAAGCAUCUGCCAAGGAUGUUUUCAUUAAUCAAGAACGAAAGUUAGGGGAUCGAAGACGAUCAGAUACCGUCGUAGUCUUAACCAUAAACGAUGCCGACCAGCGAUUAGGAGACGUUGAAUACAAAACACCACCAUCGGCGCGGUCGUCCUUGGCGUCUCGGUUUCUGCCGGGGCCGGGGGGCGGGUUAGCCCGGUGGCGCCGGUGAAUGACUCCCAUACCAGCU